UUUAUGGAGAGUUUGAUCCUGGCUCAGGAUGAACGCUGGCGGCGUGCCUAAUACAUGCAAGUCGAGCGAACGGACGAGAAGCUUGCUUCUCUGAUGUUAGCGGCGGACGGGUGAGUAACACGUGGAUAACCUACCUAUAAGACUGGGAUAACUUCGGGAAACCGGAGCUAAUACCGGAUAAUAUUUUGAACCGCAUGGUUCAAAAGUGAAAGACGGUCUUGCUGUCACUUAUAGAUGGAUCCGCGCUGCAUUAGCUAGUUGGUAAGGUAACGGCUUACCAAGGCAACGAUGCAUAGCCGACCUGAGAGGGUGAUCGGCCACACUGGAACUGAGACACGGUCCAGACUCCUACGGGAGGCAGCAGUAGGGAAUCUUCCGCAAUGGGCGAAAGCCUGACGGAGCAACGCCGCGUGAGUGAUGAAGGUCUUCGGAUCGUAAAACUCUGUUAUUAGGGAAGAACAUAUGUGUAAGUAACUGUGCACAUCUUGACGGUACCUAAUCAGAAAGCCACGGCUAACUACGUGCCAGCAGCCGCGGUAAUACGUAGGUGGCAAGCGUUAUCCGGAAUUAUUGGGCGUAAAGCGCGCGUAGGCGGUUUUUUAAGUCUGAUGUGAAAGCCCACGGCUCAACCGUGGAGGGUCAUUGGAAACUGGAAAACUUGAGUGCAGAAGAGGAAAGUGGAAUUCCAUGUGUAGCGGUGAAAUGCGCAGAGAUAUGGAGGAACACCAGUGGCGAAGGCGACUUUCUGGUCUGUAACUGACGCUGAUGUGCGAAAGCGUGGGGAUCAAACAGGAUUAGAUACCCUGGUAGUCCACGCCGUAAACGAUGAGUGCUAAGUGUUAGGGGGUUUCCGCCCCUUAGUGCUGCAGCUAACGCAUUAAGCACUCCGCCUGGGGAGUACGACCGCAAGGUUGAAACUCAAAGGAAUUGACGGGGACCCGCACAAGCGGUGGAGCAUGUGGUUUAAUUCGAAGCAACGCGAAGAACCUUACCAAAUCUUGACAUCCUUUGACAACUCUAGAGAUAGAGCCUUCCCCUUCGGGGGACAAAGUGACAGGUGGUGCAUGGUUGUCGUCAGCUCGUGUCGUGAGAUGUUGGGUUAAGUCCCGCAACGAGCGCAACCCUUAAGCUUAGUUGCCAUCAUUAAGUUGGGCACUCUAAGUUGACUGCCGGUGACAAACCGUAGGAAGGUGGGGAUGACGUCAAAUCAUCAUGCCCCUUAUGAUUUGGGCUACACACGUGCUACAAUGGACAAUACAAAGGGCAGCGAAACCGCGAGGUCAAGCAAAUCCCAUAAAGUUGUUCUCAGUUCGGAUUGUAGUCUGCA
rnacentral:rRNA from 1 species